CCGCCUCCGUCUUGCCUCUAGCAUCACAGGCUGGCUGUCUCCGCUCAUUCCUGGGCAUGGACGAAGCUAACCAUGAGAAGAAUUUAGUUUACAGUUUAAUUGUGAAGCAAGGAUAAUAAUAGUCGCUUCCUAAAACUGAUCCGCUCCUUGUUUGGAGACUGAAACAGUCUUUGUAAGACAAUGAAAGGUCACAAGAUUAGUAUUCUGAGAGGGGCCUGAAUUCUGCUAAAAUGUUGCUAACUUUGGAGGAAGCCAGCUGCCAUGUCACAAAAAGAUUCAGGAAGCCAUGUGGAGAGGCCCACAUCAUGAGGAACUGAGGUCUUUGCCAAUUACCAGCAAGGAAAUGAGGCCUCCUGCCAACAGCCACGUGAGUAUCCUACCUUGGAAAUGGACCCUCUAACUUCAAUCAGCCUUCAAAUAACUGCAGCCCCAGUUGAUGGCUUGACUGCAACCUUAGGAGAAACCCUGAGCCAAAAACAUUGAGGAAAAACACCCCCAGAUUCCUAUCAGAAAUUGUGUAAGAUAAUAAAUGUUUGUUGUUUUAAGCUGCUAAGUUUUAGGGUGAUUUGUUAUACAGAAGUAGAUAACUAAUACAGAGACAGAAGAAUUACUUUUGGGAGGGUUUGAUCAUUCUGGGCCUGCAAGAAGCCUAAACUGCUUCCUACCCCUUUGUACUGAUGAGAGCUGAGGCACAUGGUCACACCUAAGAAGCUAACUGCAAGAGCACCUGGGAAAUACAGUCUAGCCAAGUGCCCAGGAGGAAGGAAACACUUUGAUAAAUAGCUGGCCAGUCUUGGCCACAUUCAGUGAGUUUAUAUUUGGGAAUGUUUGGACCACAAGAAUCUGGUGACUAUUUAUUCCAAUUCAGACAAGAUUCUUAGAGGAAAUAGGUAAAGUCUUUGACAUAGUCUCUUUUCGAGAAUGAUGCCAAAAAUGGCUGGAGUUUGUCUAUGUCUUUGGUUUGUCUAAUUUAGUAGUGCUGUCAUAACAACAGCAGCAGCAGCACCGCUACUGACAACUAACAUUCAUUGAACACCCAGGCAUUGU
rnacentral:lncRNA from 10 species